AACGAACGCUGGCGGCAGGCCUAAUACAUGCAAGUCGAACGCCUGUAGCAAUACAGGAGUGGCGCACGGGUGAGUAACACGUGGGUAUCUACCUAGCUGUACGGAACAACCGCGGGAAACUGCGGCUAAUACCGUAUACGCCCUUCGGGGGAAAGAUUUAUCGCAGCUAGAUGAGCCCGCGUCCGAUUAGCUAGUUGGUG
rnacentral:rRNA from 1 species